UGGAAGCCAAAGAAAAUAUUGAUGGAAACUUUGCUGCUUCUCUUCAUAAUGAAAACAUGGAAAGACAUUAUGACAUAUGACAUUUAUGUUCAAAUGGUCGAGAUUUACAAUGAACAAGUUAGAGACCUACUUACUUAGGACAAAACAGAUGAUAAAUUAGAGAUUAGGAGCUGCAAUGAUGAUGAAUUAAGUCUUCCUUAUGCUACAUUGUGUCUGGUGACAUCUACAGUUGAUGUUCUGACCCUCAUGAAACUCAGUGAGGUCAACCGUGCUGUCAAUUCCGCUGCACUUAACAAUAGGAAUAGUCGUUCCCACAGUGUACUCACCGUGCAUGUUCACAAAAAAGAUACAUAGAAUUCAUGGAUCCGGGUCGAAUCGCAUAUCUUUGCUAGAAGGGAAGCCAGUACCAUAUAAGAAGGAGAGAGAUGCUAGAACACCUCCUCCGGCAGCAGCAAGGACCUCGAAACGGUGGCUGUAGGAAGACUUCAAGAGCCAAAUAUCAAUGCUGGGGUGGUUGCUUUGACUCAAAGCAACCCCAAUAGCUCCAAGCCUCCAAUUUAGUAAUUUUUUCUUUGUUGUUUUCUUUUUUUCUUCAACGUUUCUUAUAGAA